AAAGCGUGCGCAGGCGGUUAUAUAAGACAGAUGUGAAAUCCCCGGGCUCAACCUGGGAACUGCAUUUGUGACUGUAUAGCUGGAGUGCGGCAGAGGGGGAUGGAAUUCCGCGUGUAGCAGUGAAAUGCGUAGAUAUGUGGAGGAACACCGAUGGCGAAGGCAGCCCCCUGGGUCAAAACUGACGCUCAUGCACGAAAGCGUGGGGAGCAAACAGGAUUAGAUACCCCAGU
rnacentral:rRNA from 1 species